UAACUGUCAUUAUAAAUUGGUUGUUUGGUGUGUGCCGACGCUGGAAAAGUAGUUAGUUGAGUUUCGUAAUAUUAUAUACUAAGUAUUUGUGAAGGCCCCGGCGAGAUUCGAACUCACGAUCUCCUGUUUACUAGACAGGCGCUUUAACCAACUAAGCCACGGCGCCAGUUCUUUACAUCUUAACAAAUGACAGAAUUUCAACACCAAUAUAAAAAUGUACAUACAAGCAUUAUCCACCACGAGAAUAGAACAAUGUGGUCAAUUUGGAAAUAAAUCCACCAUCAUUCAGACCGUACGAGAUUUCGUGCUAAAAAUAAUUCCGCGAAUACUUACAAACAUAUACAUAUGUGUAUGCAUGUUUAAUGAUAUACGUUCUCUGUCGCAGGCUUCAGUGAGUCAUGGUUUGUCAGAAAGUGAACCCCGAAGAAGAUGUUCUAUAGAUUAAAUUUCAAACUUUUAUGUGGUUCUAUUGCUUUUACCAAAUAAUAAGAAAAAUAUAUGUACAUGAACAUAUGAAAGCAGCAACGAGGUAUUUGCCUUGGAGAGUUUUUGAAUAU